rnacentral:lncRNA from 1 species
AGCUGAGGAGAUCCCAAAGUUGAGGAGAUCCCAGAACUGAGGAGAUCCCAAAGCUGAGAAGAUCCCACCCCUGAGUGGAUCCCGUGCCAGGAUGGCAGAAGAGCAGAUCCGGGAGCCUCUGGAGUUCCAGAUCUCCAACCACACCCAGGUCACCCUGAAGUACCACAGGACUUGGGAUCAUCUCCAGGGGUUGGGAUCAUCUCCAGGGGUUGGGAUCAUCUCCAUGGUUGGGAUCAUCUCCUGGACUUGUCCCAUCUCCAUGGGUUGGGAUCAUCUCCAGGGGUUGGGAUCAUCUCCAUGGUUGGGAUCAUCUCCUGGACUUGUCCCAUCUCCAUGGUUUGGGAUCAUCUCCAGGGGUUGGCAUCAUCUCCAGGGUUGGGAUCAUCUCCAGUUCUUGUCCCAUCUCCAGGAUUUGGGAUCAUCUCCUGGACUUGUCCCAUCUCCAUGGGUUGGGAUCAUCUCCAUGGGUUGGGAUCAUCUCCAGGGGUUGGGAUCAUCUCCAUGGGUUGGGAUCAUCUCCAGGGGUUGGGAUCAUCUCCAGGGUUUGGGAUCAUCUCCAGGGUUUGGGGAUCAUCUCCAGUUCUUGUCCCAUCUCCAUGGUUUGGGAUCAUCUCCUGGACUUGUCCCAUCUCCAUGGUUUGGGAUCACCUCCAUGGGUUGGGAUCAUCUCCAGGGGUUGGGAUCAUCUCCAGAUGUUUGGAUCACCUCUAGAUGUUUGGGUCCCCUCCAGGGGUUGGGAUCAUCUCCAGGGGUUGGGGUCAUCUCCAGGGGCUGGGAUCAUCUCCUGGACUUGUCCCAUCUCCAGUUCUUGUCCCAUCUCCAGGGUUUGGGAUCAUCUCCAUGGGUUGGGAUCAUCUCCAGUUCUUGUUCCAUCUCCAUGGGUUGGGAUCAUCUCCAGGGGCUGGGAUCAUCUCCUGGACUUGUCCCAUCUCCAGUUCUUGUCCCAUCUCCAGGGUUUGGGAUCAUCUCCAUGGGUUGGGAUCAUCUCCAGGGGUUGGGAUCAUCUCCAGGGCUUGGGAUCAUCUCCAGUUCUUGUCCCAUCUCCAGGGGUUGGGAUCAUCUCCAUGGUUUGGGGAUCAUCUCCAUGGGUUGGGAUCAUCUCCAGUUCUUGUCCCAUCUCCAGGGUUUGGGAUCAUCUCCAGGGGUUGGGAUCAUCUCCAGGGGUUGGGAUCAUCUCCAGGGGUUGGGAUCAUCUC